GAUGAACGCUGACAGAAUGCUUAACACAUGCAAGUCUUUGGCGAAGCUGUGCUUGCACAGCCUAGCCAAGGCGGACGGGUGAGUAACGCGUAAGGAACUUGCCCUGCAGUCAGGGAUAACAGACGGAAACGACUGAUAAGACCUGGUAAAGUCAGGCGGACUCAUGUCCAGCCUGAUGAAAAGAGAUGCUGCAGGAGAGCCUUGCGUCCUAUUAGCUUGUUGGUGGGGUAACGGCCCACCAAGGCGAUGAUAGGUAGCCGGCCUGAGAGGGUGGACGGCCACAAGGGGACUGAGAUACGGCCCUUACUCCUACGGGAGGCAGCAGUGGGGAAUAUUGGACAAUGGGGGCAACCCUGAUCCAGCAAUUCUGUGUGCACGAUGAAGGUUUUCGGAUUGUAAAGUGCUUUCAGAAGGGAAGAAAAAAAUGACGGUACCUGCAGAAGAAGCGACGGCUAAAUACGUG
rnacentral:rRNA from 1 species